rnacentral:tRNA from 1 species
UAGGCGUUAGUCUAAAUAAGACAGUUGAUUUCGACUCAACAGACUUGGAACCAAGCCUCCAAACACCUAC